AAGUUUUCGCCCUCUCUCUCUCUCUCUCUCCCUUCCUGCGGAAUGGAUCUAGCUUUCUCGGUUGGUGCCUUUCUGCUCUGCUCACCAGCGCUCGACGCCAUUGACCUCCUUCAAUCUUCCUCCAGAAUUAGCUCUAACAAAGAGGAGAGGGCUUCAAACUUUUUCCACGGGAGUAAAGCCGGAAGGCAACACACCAUGAACUCAGUGCGAGGUGCGCUGGGCUGCUGGGCUAACCUCGCCGACAGUGACGCCGCGACGGAGGAGCUCGGUGCCUUUGGGGAGGGGCAGGUGUCGGGCUCGGUUCCUCCCAACUCUGGCGGUUCAAUGACUGGGGUCCGCCACGUCAUGCGGACCACUCGGCGCUCGUGCUCGCUGCGACCUCGAUCGUCCGGUCUACCUACAACGAAAGAUGAAGCCACGAAACUCUUCUUGUGUAGAGGCUCUUCCCCACGCAUAGUCUCCUUGAGGAUGUCAAUCUCGGCUGCUGCCGCACAAGACUCAGUAAUAUCAAAAUUUCUCCUGGUCGCGUGCAUGGGCACACUAACAUAGCAGGGUGCCCCAAUAUAGUGUGGUAUGUGCCCUUGAAAUCAACAACUUUGAAGGUGAGUAUUUCAGUGCAGAAAUUUUUAAGGGUGAACGAAAGUGAUUUAAAGUGUGAUGCACCCAAGUGGUUGACCCUUCUUGGCUAGUACUCCCUCUGUCCGGAAAUACUUGUCGGAGAAAUGAAUGUAUCUAGAUGUAUUUUAAUUCUAGAUACAUCCGUUUUCAUCCAUUUAUGCGACAAGUAAUUUCAGACGGAGGGAGUAUGACCCAGGACUGGUGCAUCAAUUGGUUUAUUCAUGAGCAAAGGAUUCUAAUUUUGUACAAAAUUUCGAUGUACAAACUAUUGAGUCUACUUAUACCAUCAAUGAGAACCUUGGUGAGUCAUAACCAUUGGCAAGUGGGUCCAUGGCCAGUGCGUGUCUUCCGAGGUCUGGAAUUGCCAGUGUGAUCAGAGCUAUCAAAAGAAAUUGUACCUUUCAACCACCGAAGCCUUUGGUGGACGACUCGUACCACCAUGUUGACCACAUGAGUGGCGAGCUUAUGGCACUACUUGGACUCGCACCCGCCAAUAAUUGCGAAGACGCAUGUUUAAUCAGGGAAAAUUUCCACAUUAGUAUCAUGGAAGGAGCAUGUCCCACCCAUUAUAUCUUGAAAGUUGUGUUGCCAUGCUUGGAACGACGCUGAGUGGGAUGCUUAGCAAGUGCAAAGAAGUUGCUUUCAUUGGCGAGGGUGCCACCUUUUGCGAUAGUGGCUUGUUUUGUUCUUCUUGUUUUACUCAUCGUUGUCCUUUGGCUUGGAAGACCCGGGGUUGUCCUUGUGUUUCCCGUUUAAUUAUGUCCCCCACCUAGCUCCACAUGGCUUCCUAUUGGAUUGUGUAGAUGUUGGCUAUGUCAAAGAACUUGGCUAUGGUUGGGGACAUGAUAACCUAAUUUUAUGGGUAAGGUCCAUGCUCUAGAUGCCUUUAUAAAAGGUAGUGAUGAUGUCAGUCUCACGAAUAUCUGGAAGAGAGUUUUUCUUCUAGGAAAUAUGCUGAAUAUAGUGCAUGACAAACUUGACAUCAUUCUAAGUGUAGAGCUGGAGGUCAUGCACAUUUCUAGGAUGUUUAUAGGUGCCCUAGAGAGUUUUCAAGUUGAGCAUCUCUUCCCAGUGAGAAUGCAAUACUUGGGAAAACUGGUGAUCAAGGCCCUCACCAAGUCAGCCAGAGAAGGGUAGGUUGCGGACCACUACAUAUUCGUCGAUCCAGUGGUCAUAGAGGUUGUGUGUAAUCUUCCAACGAUAUGUCACGCGACAUGUUACCCAUGUAUUUCUAGAUGUUGGAGACACAAAAUUUAAAGGGAAAAAGGUGAUGCCUACGCGAGGAUCAACGACUUUUGAACCCAUCUACGGUCAUUAUCAUGUUGACUAUCGUGGUUAUUCACUUUCGUGCCACGAUGGGUGUGAAACCAUGCUUCAAGGGUGUAGCGAGGGUCAUAGGUUAGCCCAAUAUGGUCGAUGGCGGAGCCAACACAACUUUCACUUAGCUCUUGACUGCGUCUAGCGACACAACCCACAUUAAUUAAGAGUGCCCCGCGGAUCAAAUACCGGGAGGGAAGACGACAUGGGAGAGCCACCGCCAAAUUUCCACAUAAACGUGGCCACCAGUCCUAAGGUGCUUCUAGUUUCGUGGAUCUAGACUGAUGGGGGAUGGCAUCGCCAAGCAGGCAAUUUUUGUGGAGCUUACUAGGCACAAGACCGACGAGAGAUGGAGCGAUCUUGGAAUUCAAGGACCCAUCAAGCCAGCGAUCGGUCUAGAAUAGGGAGUUGCAAUCAUCGCAUAUAGACCAAGUGGUUGAGACUCAAAAGAUUUGUCGGACCACGGGAUCGCAAUGUAGGCAAAGAGAGAUCUAAUGGCAUGAUAGUUUUGUAGAUCACAACCAUAUCUAGCGAACACAAAGUGUGAUGCAUGUUCGCUGGAGGGCACGCAUGCGAAGGCCUCCCAAGUCCAGGGGCGGUAGAUUUGAGCCUAGCUAACGAGUGAUUCUCGGUUCUGGAUGCUUUGAGCCGAUGAGAAGAGAAAAUCUUUGAUGACGCGGAUCAUUUCCUUGAGGAUGGCCUGUUAGGGUGCCAUGGCAACCAACAUGUGAACUGGCAUGGCGUAGACAACAUGUUGAACCAGCGCCAGGCCCUCGCCAUGGGAGAGACGGAGGACCUCAGGUAGUUAGGUUCACUUUGAAUUUGUCAACUAGGAGCAUGAGAGCAGAGAAGUGCCCUUUGUACAUUGAAAGAGGGAGCCCGAGGUAUUUGGUGGGGAAUCAUGUCGUCGGACAUGAUAGCAUUGUGUCGACAACCACGUAGGUCGCCUCAUUACACUGGAUGGAUUGUGGUGCAUUUUGGUGAAGUUGGUGCGCAGGCCCAAGUCUACCCCAAAGGUGUGCAGUAUCUUACGGAUGCUCAACGGAAACCGGGUGAUAGAAAAUUACCAUGUCAUUGGCAAACAUGGAGUCAUUGGAGGCUAAAUGUCAUGUGGUUGGGUGCCAAAGGAUCCCGGAGUUUUAUGCCCAUUGUAGCAGGCAAUUGAGAAUAUCAAUAACAAUGGUGAAGAGCAUGGGAUAUAAUUGAUCCCCCUAACACAGUCUAUGGUUAUGGAGAAUAGGGGGACUGGAUUGCUGCUGAUUUGCACGUGGGUAGAUGGCAAGGAUAAAACAAGGAGAUCCAUUUGCACCAUAGCGGGCAAAAAAUCCAGGUGAUGCAGGGCCUCGGGAGGAGAGGGAGGGCCAUGAGACAUAAUCAAACUUACAUGCAAUGUCAAGCUGGAGCAGGAUAUGUGGGGCCUUUAGUUGUUCUAGCUAGUGUGCAGUUUUCUAGACAAGGAAAUGUAAGUCAUCUAUCACACGGUGAUCAUAACGAGAACUUACAGGUUCAUCAGAAUGUUUGACCAGGGACUAGAUAGCUCGAGAGUGGGAUUUGCUCCUCCGAUGAUGGAGAGAUAUUCUUAGGGCCCUCUCAGUGUCACGUCAUCCAUCACCGUCUGGCCAGACAUAGGUGACUAUGUCACGGGGAUGCCGAAACACUUCAACAAGAAAGAAGAACAAAAUCGGUAAUGAGGAUAACGGUAUCGUGAGCAUGUUUAUGCCUUAGGAGGAUAUCGAUGCAUCUCCAGUUUUGUAAAGUAUCACAAAGCAAAGGGAACAUGACAUGAUAACCAAAGAUUCACUCGAAUGCCAUUUGUGUAAUCAUAGGGAUCGAUAAGGACGCCCAUGGCUCCGCUAUCGGUCAUUGAACAAAGGGGUUUCGUUCAUUUCUAUGCUUUACCGAACCUACGGGGUCACAAGUUUAAGGUAAUCAUGAUCUGCUGGGUGUUAGUAUGAUGGGAGUAUCGAGGAUUUCUUUGUGGAACUAUUUCAUGAAUAUUCUGAAUAGUUGCGAGAGGAAUCGGAAGGGUUUCGGGGUUUAUCGAGCAAUACCGUGUAUUGCAGAUAAAUAAUAUAUAGGUAGCAAACGUUUCUAGAGAAGUUAAAUUAAUAGUUAAAGGCUCUAAUAAUAGUUAGCGGGAUUUUAUAUUUAAUUUAGUAUCAAUGGGCCUUGAAAGGCCAAGAGGUACUUGGGCCACUUGCGCCCAAAUAGGUGCAGGCAGCCCCUUCCUCCUUGUAGAAGGAAGGGGAGGCUGAAUUGAGGCGGAUCCCCCCUCCUUGGUGGGCCAAGGCGCCCCCUCUCCCCUCCCUCUAACCUCUAUAUACUUGAGGACUUUGGCUCACAAGUUUUGGAGCCUCCUCUAAUUCAUCUAUCUCUAGUUCUAGUUGGCCCUAGUUGAUUAAUUAGAGCUUGACACAGUUCCUCUAAUCCUCAUAAUUAGAAGUUCUAUUUGGUUAUAAUCUCCUUUCUCUAAUUCUCCAUCAACGAUUAUCUCUAGAAGGCGAACCGCCGCUAGAUUGUGAAGACCGUACGCUUGCAACCAAGUAGGGAGGUCGUGCUUUCGGUCUUCUGUUCAAGGGAUUUUUUGUGGGCGGUUUGCGGGAUCGUUCAUCUACGGUACGAGGAACUCCAAGUACGAUCUACACCGACCCAUCUUCUUCAGCUGCACUCCGGACUCGGUAACGAACAUUGAUCCAAACCUUAUAUCCAUCUUCAUAUUGUUCCUAGGUGAUCACAGAGCGAUUUUUUUGUUUUCUACUACGUUUCCCAACAGUGGCAUCAUAAGUGGUUCUAUAAGGAGAUGCAUGUUUCAAUCUAGAUCAGAUGUGGAUGUGAGGGUUCGAUGUUCUUGCUAUACUCCCCUCGAGUGUUGCUUUGGUUCGGUUCAUUAACGACAUGAUGUGGCUUUGCACAAAGUUCUGACAAUCGAUCGGCUCUGGCUGUCGACGUUCUGCUAACAGUUCUUUGGGCUUCAUCAUAGUCAAGAAUAGUGAACCGUCGCAAACACAAGAGGAAGAUGAAGAUAUUCUAUCUUAUAGCGGGUCACGCAUCUUGACGAAGUUUAGUGCGGGGCUAGAUAUUUUGAAUUAAGUCUCUUCCCUCACACACCCUGAAAGUUAAUCUAGCAACAAGAAGUAUUGCCUUGAUAGUGUACCUAGGUAGCUGGUAUUGUCCGGAAACCCUACAAGCCACGUAAUUAAAAUUUUCCAAACCGAGUAGAGGACAUCUAACUUGGUUUUGCAUGUUUUCAUAUGAUGUGGUAUAGCCCUCAUCAUGAUAAUGGGUUUAUGUAUGAGAUGCUUACAUGUUGUAACGUUAAGUGGCAUGUGCGUCAUGGCAUGAUGGCUGGAGCCGCGAGAUUGCCACUUUAAUGUAAAAGAUGUAGAGAUAGCCUACAUGUUACAUGUGAUGGUGGCAAGUGCACAUGGAGGACCCUGGCGUGGAGAAGGUGUACCAGGCGCAAGAGGAGGUGCUAAAGUUUUUGUGCCACGACAGCAUUUUCUAAUUUUUUAUUUUGAAUA